AGCAAGCUCUGAUCAAGAUGUCAACGUCGGAUACUCCCGAAGAUUCCCCGGCUCGCCCGGAAGAACAUUUGUUUGUAAACAGCAUAUAACGUUUCCGAUUUGCAUGAAGUAAACCAAAUCAGGGAUCGCGCCACUUGAUCCAAGCUGAUGGAGAAGAAACCAGAAUUCGAUGCGAAAUUUGCGCCAAUGUAAACGGUUUCCGUUCUUAUAAUUGCCUGAUUCUGGGAUUAUUGUGUUCACCAAAAUGAAUAAAUCAAAUAAAUAAAGUGAGUGAUGACGGAACAGAUGGAACAAAACUACAGAACCAACUAGAAAAUCAUCGAACAAUGCCGAAGAAUCCCUGGUGGGAGCGGAUGGAGCCUUUGGUGAUGAUGACAGUUUCGUUCCAGAAAACGCUCGACUCGAUCGGCUCGAGAACCAAGGGAAGCAAAAACCUGGCUGCGUCUAGGAGAAGGAAAUGGACCGGAAGAAAAGCGAAAAAUUCAGGUAAACGUUAAGUUAUCAUUCGACGUUUUCUUCAGUUUGUUAUUCGGAAGUAUCCGUGAACGUCUUUGAGGCACAAUUCAAAUUCAAGGGCCAAGCCCUCCCGAAAAAAGUCCCAAUACCCAAGUGCGAUCGAUUGCUUCCGGUUGUCCAGUGGCCCGAGCAUUUUCGCUGAACAGCUGAAAAACAUUCGCAGAGGGUAACAAUGAAGAUCGUCGGGAAAAGAGCGAGCAAACGAUGGUCCGGAUCCGUUGUUUUGUGUUAAGGAAUUAAAAAUUGUGUGAGUGUCAAAAUUUAUCAUUGUAAUUAUUCUGCAU